rnacentral:ncRNA from 2 species
UUCUUAUCCAGAAAGACGGAGGGACAGGCCCGAUGAAGUCUUAGCAACCUUAAUGAUCUCGCAUUAAAAGGUGCUAAUUCCUGUGACGCAAUAUAUUGUGUCAUGAAGAUAAGCA